rnacentral:tRNA from 1 species
GGCGGGGUAGCUCAGCUGGUUAGAGCGCACGACUCAUAAUCGUGAGGUCGCGGGAUCGAGUCCCGCCUCCGCUACCA